rnacentral:rRNA from 1 species
UACGUAGGGUGCGAGCGUUGUCCGGAAUUACUGGGCGUAAAGAGCUCGUAGGUGGUUUGUCGCGUUGUCCGUGAAAACUCACAACUCAAUUGUGGGCGUGCGGGCGAUACGGGCAGACUGGAGUACUGCAGGGGAGACUGGAAUUCCUGGUGUAGCGGUGGAAUGCGCAGAUAUCAGGAGGAACACCGGUGGCGAAGGCGGGUCUCUGGGCCGAUACUGACGCUGAGGCUCGAAAGCGUGGGGAGCAAACAGG